rnacentral:lncRNA from 10 species
CAGAGCUUAGGCCGGCAGCAGUCAGAAAUGUCUGCUGGAGAAGACACUGCAAAGUGUCAGUGAGGGCGUUUGAGAAUUAAUUUUACCCUAGAGUAGCUGCGCAGGUCUGUUUAGCACUCACCUCUACAGUUUUGAACAUUCGAUAACACCAGAAUCAGUCUGAUGCCUUGAACACUUUACAUGAAGGGUUUUUCAAAAUCUAGCCACAAACAGAUAUGACCAGAUUUCAAAAAAUUUUGAGAAACUAGGAGGAAUCUAUUUUGACAAAGCCAAGCCACACAUAGGAUAGAGGCAGACAUGCGUGCCCUGGAAAGAAGAAAGUAGAAGGAUCAACUAAAAGAGCUCUCCCACUAAAUGGCUGUGGGCUCCUCUAAGAAACUGAAACAUGGAAGAAGGAAGGACCAGCCAGCCAGAACAGCAAGCUGAAAUUUGAGUCAAGAGUCCAUUUCUUCCAUCUGGCCAGAUGAUCUCCAGGAUACUCUCAUGUAUGUCAAUAAUAACUUUUCUUUUAUAAUUUUGUCUUUCUCAAUAUUUAACUCACAGUUCAAUGCAUUUCCAUUCAAAUAUGUGUCUUGUGAUAUGUGGCACUACUCUACCUCCUUUUCUGAAAGGCUGCUCCUUUCUAACAAGGUGAACACCUCCACUGCCAUAUUUAGGUAUAAGGAUCCUCCCAUCAAGUAUCUGAGACUCCUA